rnacentral:rRNA from 1 species
AACGAACGCUGGCGGCAGGCUUAACACAUGCAAGUCGAACGCCCCGCAAGGGGAGUGGCAGACGGGUGAGUAACACGUGGGAACGUGCCCUAAGGUUUGGAAUAUUCCCGGGAAACUGGGAGCAAUACCAAAUGUGUCCGUAAGGAGAAAGAUUUAUCGCCUUAGGAUCGGCCCGCGUCAGAUUAGGUAGUUGGUGGGGUAAUGGCCUACCAAGCCGACGAUCUGUAGCUGGUCUGAGAGGACGACCAGCCACACUGGGACUGAGACACGGCCCAGACUCCUACGGGAGGCAGCAGUGGGGAAUCUUGGACAAUGGGCGAAAGCCUGAUCCAGCCAUGCCGCGUGGAUGAUGAUGGCCCUAGGGUUGUAAAAUCCUUUCGUUGGGGACGAUGAUGACGGUACCCAAAGAAGAAGCUCCGGCUAACUUCGUGCCAGCCGCCGCGGUAACAC